ACUCCUACGGGAGGCAGCAGUGGGGAAUAUUGCACAAUGGGCGCAAGCCUGAUGCAGCCAUGCCGCGUGUAUGAAGAAGGCCUUCGGGUUGUAAAGUACUUUCAGCAGUGAGGAAGGCGGAGUCGUUAAUAGCGGCCUCGUUUGACGUUAGCUGCAGAAGAAGCACCGGCUAACUCCGUGCCAGCAGCCGCGGUAAUACGGAGGGUGCGAGCGUUAAUCGGAAUUACUGGGCGUAAAGCGCAUGCAGGUGGUUUGUUAAGUCAGAUGUGAAAGCCCGGGGCUCAACCUCGGAAUUGCAUUUGAAACUGGCAGACUAGAGUACUGUAGAGGGGGGUAGAAUUUCAGGUGUAGCGGUGAAAUGCGUAGAGAUCUGAAGGAAUACCAGUGGCGAAGGCGGCCCCCUGGACAAAGACUGACGCUCAGAUGCGAAAGCGUGGGGAGCAAACAGGAUUAGAUACCCU
rnacentral:rRNA from 1 species